rnacentral:rRNA from 1 species
CCACGGGUGGCUGCAGUGGGGAAUAUUGCACAAUGGGGGAAACCCUGAUGCAGCGACGCCGCGUGAGUGUAGAAGUAUUUCGGUAUGUAAAGCUCUAUCAGCAGGGAAGAAAAUGACGGUACCUGCUUCAGCAGCCCCGGCUAACUACGUGCCAGCAGCCGCGGUAAUACGUAGGGGGCAAGCGUUAUCCGGAUUUACUGGGUGUAACGGGAGCGUAGACGGCAGCACAAGUCUGGAGUGAAAUGCCGGGGCUUAACCCCGGAACUGCUGUGGAAACUGUGCAGCUAGAGUGCAGGAGAGGUAAGUGGAAUUCCUAGUGUAGCGGUGAAAUGCGUAGAUAUUAGGAGGAACACCAGUGGCGAAGGCGGCUUACUGGACUGUAACUGACGUUGAGGCUCGAAAGCGUGGGGAGCAAACAGGAUGAGAUACCCCUGUAGUC